rnacentral:misc_RNA from 1 species
GAAAUGCGAUAAGUAAUGUGAAUUGCAGAAUUCAGUGAAUCAUCGAAUCUUUGAACGCACAUUGCGCCCGUCGGUAUUCCGGCGGGCAUGCCUGUUCGAGCGUCAUUUAAAGCCCCUCGGCGGCCGAGUUUUUUUUUUUUGGUUUUAGCUAUAUAAAAAAACUCGCGCCGCCGGCGUUGGCGCUCCGCUUGGCCCCUUGCUUGCGGGCCAGGCGGGCUGCCCAAAUGCAGCGGCGGACCGUUCCGGGCCUCCCAGCGCAGUAGCAAUAGCCUCGCUGCGGAAGGAAAGGACGGCUUCUGGCCCCAUUUAUCGACGUUUUCAUUGUCGACCUUUCAAGAGCUUGACCUCGGAUCAGGUAGGACUACCCGCUGAACUUAA